rnacentral:rRNA from 1 species
GAUGAACGCUGGCGGCGUGCCUAAUACAUGCAAGUCGAGCGAACAGACGAGGAGCUUGCUCCUCUGGCGUUAGCGGCGGACGGGUGAGUAACACGUGGAUAACCUACCUAUAAGACUGGAUAACCUCGGGAAACCGGAGCUAAUACCGGAUAAUAUAUUGAACCGCAUGGUUCAAUAGUGAAAGACGGUUUUGCUGUCACUUAUAGAUGGAUCCGCGCCGCAUUAGCUAGUUGGUAAGGUAACGGCUUACCAAGGCAACGAUGCGUAGCCGACCUGAGAGGGUGAUCGGCCACACUGGAACUGAGACACGGUCCAGACUCCUACGGGAGGCAGCAGUAGGGAAUCUUCCGCAAUGGGCGAAAGCCUGACGGAGCAACGCCGCGUGAGUGAUGAAGGUCUUCGGAUCGUAAAACUCUGUUAUUAGGGAAGAACAAAUGUGUAAGUAACUAUGCACGUCUUGACGGUACCUAAUCAGAAAGCCACGGCUAACUACGUG